rnacentral:tRNA from 1 species
AGCGGGGUAGAGCAGGGGUAGCUUACCACUUUGACUUGGUGGAGGUCACUGGUUCGAGUCCAGUCCCCGCAACUA